rnacentral:hammerhead_ribozyme from 1 species
AUCCAGCUGAUGAAUCCCGAAUAGGAUGAAACGUCCGUCAAACUGGAU